rnacentral:tRNA from 1 species
GCCUAGUUGGCUUGGUUGGUAGCGCGUCUGCCUUGAAAGCGCUAAGUCGCGGGUUUGAUUCCUGCCCGAGGCG